GAGGUGCCGGAUACAUCGGAAGUUCAUCGUGAAAGCAUGUGCAAAGUCUGGUCACCCUACCUUUGUUCUCGAGACGAAGUCCACACUCUCCAACCCCGCCAACGCCGAAAUCAUCAAAGGUUUCAAGAGCUUAGGCGUGAACCUAGUCCAUGGAGACAUAUACGAUCAAAAGAGUCUGUUGAGUGCGAUUAAGCAGGUUGAUGUGGUAAUCUCUACUGUGGGGAUACCACAGCUAGAAGACCAAGACAGGAUUGUUGCAGCCAUCAAAGCAGCUGGGAAUAUCAAGAGAUUCUUGCCUUCAGAUUUUGGAAAUGAUGCGGAUCGUAACAAU